AUUGAACGCUGGCGGCAGGCCUAACACAUGCAAGUCGAGCGGAGAGGCGGACGAGUGAUUAAUGCCUAGGAAUCAGCCUGUUGGUGGCGGACCAAGUACGGGGACGGGAGCCAAUGCCACAUACUUUCAGAUGAGCUUAGGUGGGCUUAGAUGGUUGGUGGGGUAAAGGCCUAACAAGGCGACGAUCCGUAACUGGGCUGAGAGGAUGAUCAGUCACACUGGGACUGAGACACGGUCCAGACUCCUACGGGAGGCAGCAGUGGGGAAUAUUGGACAAGGGGCGAAAGCCUGAACCAGCCAUGCCGCGUGUGUGAAGAAGGUUUUCGGAUUGUAAAGCACUUUAAGUAGGGAGGCGUUACCUAAAGAGUAAGCACCGGCUAACUUCGUGCCAGCAGCCGCGGUAAUUC
rnacentral:rRNA from 1 species